rnacentral:rRNA from 1 species
UAUCGCAUGAUGAGUAAGUCAAAUCGAUUUAGAGGUAUGGGAUGAGUUCGCGUCUGAUUAGCUAGUUGGUGAGGUAAUGGCUCACCAAGGCGACGAUCAGUAGCCGGCCUGAGAGGGUGAACGGCCACACUGGAACUGAGACACGGUCCAGACUCCUACGGGAGGCAGCAGUGGGGAAUAUUGCACAAUGGGCGAAAGCCUGAUGCAGCGACGCCGCGUGAGUGAAGAAGGUCUUCGGAUCGUAAAACUCUGUCCUUGGUGAAGAAAAAAAUGACGGUAGCCAAGGAGGAAGCCCCGGCUAACUACGUGCCAGCAGCCGCGGUAAUACGUAGGGGGCGAGCGUUGUCCGGAUUUACUGGGCGUAAAGGGUGAGUAGGCGGUUAUAUAUGUCAGAUGUAAAAGGCACAGGCUUAACUUGUGUAAGCAUUUGAAACUGUAUGACUUGAGUGCAGGAGAGGUAAGUGGAAUUCCUAGUGUAGCGGUGAAAUGCGUAGAUAUUAGGAGGAACACCAGUGGCGAAGGCGACUUACUGGACUGUAACUGACGCUGAGUCACGAAAGCGUGGGUAGCAAACAGGAUUAGAUACCCUGGUAGUCCACGCUGUAAACGAUGAGUGCUAGGUGUUGGCCAGCGAUGGUCAGUGCCGAAGUUAACACAAUAAGCACUCCGCCUGGGGAGUACGGUCGCAAGACUGAAACUCAAAGGAAUUGACGGGGACCCGCACAAGCAGCGGAGCAUGUGGUUUAAUUCGAAGCAACGCGAAGAACCUUACCAAGGUUUGACAUCCCCUUGACAGAUGCAGAGAUGUGUCCUCCCCUUCGGGGGCAAGGGAGACAGGUGGUGCAUGGUUGUCGUCAGCUCGUGUCGUGAGAUGUUGGGUUAAGUCCCGCAACGAGCGCAACCCUUAUCCUUAGUUGCCAGCAAGUUAAGUUGGGCACUCUAGGGAGACUGCCGGUGAUAAACCGGAGGAAGGUGGGGAUGACGUCAAAUCAUCAUGCCCCUUAUAUCUUGGGCUACACACGUGCUACAAUGGUCGGUACAAAGGGAAGCGAAAGAGUGAUCUGGAGCAAAUCCUUAUAAACCGACCCCAGUUCGGAUUGUAGGCUGCAACUCGCCUACAUGAAGUCGGAGUUGCUAGUAAUCGCGAAUCAGAACGUCGCGGUGAAUGCGUUCCCGGGUCUUGUACACACCGCCCGUCACACCAUGGAAGUUGGUAAUACCCGAAGUCGCUGAGCUAACCGUAAGGGGGCAGGCGCCGAAGGUAGGAUCAAUGACUGGGGUGAAGUCGUAACAAGGUAGCCGUAUCGGAAGGUGCGGCUGGAUCACCUCCU